CAAAGGUGAACGAUCGCAUCAUCAGUUUCAGAGAGCAAAUUGAAAGUCUUCCAUGUGUGAAGGCCGUCAUCUUUAAGACUAAACAGGGAGAGUUCUGCUGUGAUCCUAGACAACGAUGGGUGAAGAAGAAAGUUGAGCAGUUAGUUAAAGCCAAAAACAGAGUUUAAAGAAACAAACACCUGACUUCCACGCCACCACCAG